rnacentral:rRNA from 1 species
AUGACUACCUCCACCACCGCCGCCAUCCCCUGUCUCCUCCUCCUUGCCACGCUCACCAUCGCCGCUGCUGAAAUAGGGCACCCGCAGGCUCCGGCGGCAGCCACAGGCGCCGUGGGCUGCCGGACGGAGAUCAGGGACGUGGGCAAGAACAAGCUGGUGCAGUCCCUGGGCCGGUUCGCGGUGUCCGAGCACAACCGCCGCCUCAGCCACGGCGGCAGACCAGUCAACAACGGUGACCCCGUCCAGGUCCAGCUCGUCUUCAUCGCCGUGGCGGCGGCGCAGAAGCAGGUCGCCUCCGGGGUGGUAUACUACCUGAAGGUUAUCGCCCGGGACCGCGCCGGCGGCGGCGGGGACAGGCCGUUCGACGCCGUGGUGGUCGUCAAGGCGUGGAUCAAGUCCAAGGAGCUCGUGUCUCUCAUGCCUUCUCCCAAGUAA